UACGAAGGGGGCUAGCGUUGCUCGGAAUUACUGGGCGUAAAGGGCGCGUAGGCGGAUAUUUAAGUUAGAGGUGAAAGCCCAGGGCUCAACCCUGGAACAGCCUUUAAUACUGGAUAUCUUGAGUUCGGGAGAGGUGAGUGGAACUCCGAGUGUAGAGGUGAAAUUCGUAGAUAUUCGGAAGAACACCAGUGGCGAAGGCGACUCACUGGCCCGAUACUGACGCUGAGGCGCGAAAGCGUGGGGAGCAGACAGG
rnacentral:rRNA from 1 species